UGUGGACGCCAGUCUGCAUGGAGCCGACCUUGAAAUACCACCCUUUAAUGUUUGAUGUUCUAACGUUGGCCCGUAAUCCGGGUUGCGGACAGUGUCUGGUGGGUAGUUUGACUGGGGCGGUCUCCUCCUAAAGAGUAACGGAGGAGCACGAAGGUUGGCUAAUCCUGGUCGGACAUCAGGAGGUUAGUGCAAUGGCAUAAGCCAGCUUGACUGCGAGCGUGACGGCGCGAGCAGGUGCGAAAGCAGGUCAUAGUGAUCCGGUGGUUCUGAAUGGAAGGGCCAUCGCUCAACGGAUAAAAGGUACUCCGGGGAUAACAGGCUGAUACCGCCCAAGAGUUCAUAUCGACGGCGGUGUUUGGCACCUCGAUGUCGGCUCAUCACAUCCUGGGGCUGAAGUAGGUCCCAAGGGUAUGGCUGUUCGCCAUUUAAAGUGGUACGCGAGCUGGGUUUAGAACGUCGUGAGACAGUUCGGUCCCUAUCUGCCGUGGGCGCUGGAGAACUGAGGGGGGCUGCUCCUAGUACGAGAGGACCGGAGUGGACGCAUCACUGGUGUUCGGGUUGUCAUGCCAAUGGCACUGCCCGGUAGCUAAAUGCGGAAGAGAUAAGUGCUGAAAGCAUCUAAGCACGAAACUUGC
rnacentral:rRNA from 1 species